rnacentral:rRNA from 1 species
UCGCCCUUACUGCUCAGUAACACGUGGACAAUCUGCCCUAAAGAAGAGAAUAAUCCCGGGAAACUGGGGGUAAUGCUCUAUAGUCCGGAAUGACUGGAAUGUUUUCCGGAUGAAAGGUCCGCCGCUUUAGGAUGAGUCUGCGGCCGAUUAGGUAGUUGUUGGGGUAAAAGCCCAACAAGCCCGUAAUCGGUACGGGUUGUGGGAGCAAGAGCCCGGAGAUGGAUUCUGAGACACGAAUCCAGGCCCUACGGGGCGCAGCAGGCGCGAAAACUUUACAAUGCGGGCAACCGUGAUAAGGAAACCCCGAGUGCCAGCACAGGCUGGCUGUCCACCAGUGUAAAAAACUGGUGAAGAAAGGGCCGGGCAAGACCGGUGCCAGCCGCCGCGGUAAUACCGGCGGCUCGAGUGGUGGCCGCUUUUACUGGGCUUAAAGGGUCCGUAGCUGGAUUCACAAGUCCCUUGAGAAAUCUAUCGGCUUAACUGAUAGGCGUUCAGGGGAUACUGUGGUUCUAGGGACCGGGAGAGGUGAGAGGUACUGCCGGGGUAGGAGUGAAAUCCUGUAAUCCCGGUGGGACGACCUAUGGCGAAGGCAUCUCACCAGAACGGCUCCGACAGUGAGGGACGAAAGCUGGGGG